rnacentral:rRNA from 1 species
UACGUAGGGGGCGAGCGUUGUCCGGAAUCAUUGGGCGUAAAGCGCGUGUAGGCGGCCCGGUAAGUCCGCUGUGAAAGCCCUGGGCUUAACCCAGGAAGUGCAUUCGAAACUCACGAACUUGAGUCCCGGAGAGGAAGGCGGAAUUCUCGGUGUAGAGGUGAAAUUCGUAGAUAUCGAGAGGAACAUCUGUGGCGAAGGCGGCCUUCUGGACGGUGACUGACGCUGAGACGCGAAAGCGUGGGGAGCAAACAGG